rnacentral:tRNA from 1 species
GCCAGGGUAGCCAAGUCGGUCACGGCGGGUGUCUGAAAAACAUCAGAUUGAGGUUCGAUUCCUCACCCUGGCA